UUCUCCUCUUUCUUCUCAAAAAAACCCUAAUCUAAAUUUUUAAAAUUCAUGCCCUUAUAUUCCAAUCAAAGGAAAAAUUGUUCAAGAUAUGUGCUGAAAUUUCAUAUACUAGAACGACUACCAAUUCUUCUUCCUCAAUUUAGCGAAGAUAUCAAGGUUCAACACUUUACAAACAAGAAUUUGCAUAUUAUUGGUGAGAUGCUCAAGUCAAUAUGGAAAUCACUAGAGAAAACUAAUGUUUUUGUUGCAAAAUUAUUUCAGAGCAGCCCAUACAUAUGGAAAGACAUGAGAAUCAAUGAACUUUUACUUAUUUUCUUUAGUUUGAAGUGUCUUUGUGCUUUAAGUUGUCAAAUACUAAUGAAAAAACAGGAUACUUUGUGUAUUGUGAUUGUCAUAGUAGCAAAUUACAAUUAUGAAUUUUUGGAGGCCAAAAAAUAAACCUAGAGUGCUAAAAAUUAUUAAGUAAAAUGGUGCACUUUAACUGUUUGAUAAAUUGUCUGAAUGAAUUUUUCAGAGAUUUUUGUUAAGUUUGAGUAGCAAUCUGAUACCUAUUCAAAAUGUAAGGAGUCUCAUAAGUAUGGAUUGGACUCGUUGAUUGAGAGUCUUCGGAAUAGCUAUUACUGCUUCAGCACAUUGUGUCUUGGAAUGGUGUACUAGACUGCAAAUUGCAGUUGGUGCUGCCCGAGGCCUAUGUUACAUGCAUCACGAGUGCUCCCCGCCAAUCAUUCAUCGUGACAUAAGUGUAGUAAUAUCCUUUUAGACCAUGAACUGAAUGUGCGAUUUUGGCUAAGUAGGGAGAGACAGAGACUGCUUCUGCUAUCGCUGGCACGUUUGGUUACCUAGCUCCAGAGUAUGCAUACACGUUGAAAGUGAAUGACAAGAUUGAUGUCUACAGCUUUGGUGUGGUGUUAUUGGAGCUGGUUACCGGGAGAGAACCAAUUAAUGGAGACGAGCAUAUAAACCUUGCACAAUGGGCAUGGAACCACCAUGAAGAAGGCAAUCUAGUGGUUGAUGCUAUUGAUGAAGAAAUCAAGGAAGCAUGUUUCUUGAACGAAAUGAGUUCCAUGUUCAAGUUGGGGCUUAUUUGGACCAGUACUAUCCCUUCUGCUAGGUCUUCCAUGAAAGAAGUCUUGCAAAUUCUAUUACUUAGCCUUACUACUUCUUCCUAGCAAAUUCUUAGUAGUAAGCUUAGCUAGGACGUCUGCAACUUGAUUUGUUUCUCUGUAGCACGAGCAGUUGUUAGCUGUAGCCUGUAACAUUUGCUUGGUUCAUCAUUUGGGAAAAGUCUUCAAUGAUAUUCUUCA